rnacentral:rRNA from 1 species
GACGAACCGUGCGAACGUUAUUCGGAAUCACUGGGCUUAAAGCGCGUGUAGGCGGAUGGCCGCGUCGAGUGCUGAAAGCCCCCGGCUCAACCGGGGGACCGGCCUCGAAACGGGCCGUCUGGAGGGGCGUAGGGGGAGCUGGAACUCACGGUGGAGCGGUGAAAUGCGUUGAGAUCGUGAGGAACGCCCGCGGCGAAAGCGAGCUCCUGGACGCCUGCUGACGCUGAGACGCGAAAGCCAGGGGAGCGAA